UACGAAGGGGGCUAGCGUUGUUCGGAUUUACUGGGCGUAAAGCGCACGUAGGCGGAUUGUUAAGUCGGGGGUGAAAUCCUGGAGCUCAACUUCAGAAUUGCCUUCGAUACUGGCUUUCUAGAGGCUGGAAGAGGUUAGUGGAAUUCCCAGUGUAGAGGUGAAAUUCGUAGAUAUUGGGAAGAACACCAGUGGCGAAGGCGGCUAACUGGUCCAGAUCUGACGCUGAGGUGCGAAAGCGUGGGGAGCAAACAGGG
rnacentral:rRNA from 1 species